AGUGAGACUCUAGUAAUUUGGGUCAGUUUUGUAGACCUCAAAGGAUAAUUCCUAAAUAUCCCGGCAGGACCCACGUACAACCCCUUAAUGGACUGUUAAUUCAAACUCCUGUAGAUUGUCACACCACAAGUCGCAAUGAGGAUGCUUUCUUUUUCACUAGGUAUCAUCACCAUCACACUCCCUAUUCUUGGUCCUGCAAUGACCACUUUUCAGGCUCACAGGCUGGCCCUGCUUCAGACAUGCUCAGGCUGGUCCUGGCUCGGGAUUCUACAAACCAUCCUUUGAUUAUAGCAGGGCCUCACUGUUGGAAGAUUGCAUGGCCCCUGUGCAAGAUGAAAAACUGGCUGUCAUUUGGGCAAUGGAAUUUACCUGGAAAAAAGAUUAUUGGAAAGAUAUGCCUACAUCUGCCACAAUAUGCAUUAAAAAAAAUCCUAAUUCAGAAUAACUUACGCUUACAACUUAUGCCUGACUCUGCUGGUCAUUCUACACCUGACUUACUAAGAAAUGCAAAAGAGUAAAGUUCUCUUUAUGAACAUCUAUGUUUCUACUGACGGAGGCUACGUUCUCGCAAUGUCUGCCAUUUCUGGAGCUAAGGUAAGUCUCUGGGCAAGGGUAGCCAGGCCCCGUGGAACCCCAGAGGCCUGAACAAAUGAAUGUUCUCUCUUUAGAAGGCUAGAUUCCCCCAAAGAGGAAGUCAUUUAGGUACCAGGACUGUACAUUUCGUUUCACACCCAGAAUGCUUUCCUUGAUGAAGGUUUCAAUGUUGACAGAGCAAAUAAAAUCGAAGCUAAGGCUAAGAACCAAAUGCUGGUUUGCUCUGGUUGUCUCUAACUGGGACCAUUUCCAGGAAAGUUCAUGGCUGUGCACUGCAGGGCAGCACAGUAGCCAGUCUUUCACAGUUGGCCCCAACUUCAAUUUCUUUCUUUAACUCUCCCGCUCCUCCCUGCUUUAAUCCACAUUAAUAGCUAGUCCCAACAGUAUUCUCUCCCAGAACCUCCCUGGCUCCCAAGUCUCCUAUGACCUUUUCCUUUGCCUCUCAGAAAUCCCAGCUCUCUCCGGCCCCUUGAGAUAGUUCCCCAUUCUUCCAACAGGAAAAUCCUCUUCUGGCUUCUUCCAUGGAUCUGUUUCUAUCAGGUAAUAGUACCUAACCCAUUCUGUUUUGUCUCAGAGCUGUUACCCUGUGUCUCUGCUGCUCGGAUUGGGAGUUCCCUACAGAAGGAGACCUGCUGGGUCCUCAGUGCCUGUGAAUCCACCGCUUUGUGUGUAACAUCUUUUCCAGAAGGAUUUGGAGAAGGAGUCUACAGGCCACAAGAAUCUGUCGAGCUGUUGACCAAACGUGAACGAAAACUCGGGAUUAGAAUAAAAAAGAAAAUGGAGAGAGGGGUCAAGGAAAUGAAAGAAAGAAAGAAAGAAAGAGAAAGAAAGAAAGAAAAAUCUCUUUUCUUGGAAGGCUCCUCCCUGUCUCUGCUGUCUUCUUAGGAAAUGAUCUUGGAAACUGUGACCUAAUAGUCAAAACCUGGGGAGAUAUACAAAAUUCAAGGAGGUAUUAUUUUUCACGUCUGCAAUGUGUGGUUGAGGUGAUAAGAUGGAAAUGAAAGGAAUGUGCGCAUCUUGAGGAGCCAAAGAUGUGCAGAAUCUCAUGAAAUGAUCAGUCUGUGUGGAGCUGCAGGCCCCACCAGUAAAUAGGAGAACAAAGGCAAGGUGAUGGGAGGAUCCGGUGACCUCACGCUUAAGGAUAGAAAAGUGACACUGGGGCAUCAUAAUCAGAGGUGAAGAGUGAAGCCAUCCUGCCUGAAAUCCUCUAGUCUUUAAGACGGUUUGGCAAGUUAAGGUACCUCAAACACUACAUGAGACAGUAAUCCCAAAAUUGUGUUAGGGGAUACGGCUGAGUUUAAAAACUAAGCAUAGGCGUUUUUAAGCGAAUCAAAUCACAGAGCGAGUAUUCUUUGUGUGUUAAAAAAAAGCACCUGAGAAUGCGGAACCUUAAUGCUUUCAAAGCGUAUGACAACUUUGGCCAUUCAGAGUAACUGGUCAGACAUGUCAGUCCAAUUAAAAAUAUGUAAUGGAGCAACUACUUUAUACUUUUUGACGAAUGACAUCCUAGGUUACAUAGAGUUUUAAAACAUUUACCAGAAUUAAAACAUAUUUUUCAGUUUCAAUUACUAUAAGAAUUACUUAAAUACUUGGAGGGUUGUACAGUCCCACAAUUCAAGUACUUAAAAAGGAAAGACUUCUCGUGGUGAGCAGUGACUAAUGUGUAGAAUUGUUUACUCAAUAUACUGUAUGCUGGCAACUAAUAUUACUCCGUGUGUUAAUUGUACUUCACUGGAGAUACAAUAUAUUCUCUUUACUUUUUAUUUAUUUUUAAUUGGUUAAAGGAGUUUAAUUAACUGAGUUUGUAAAUGGAACCAAAUAUUUAAAUUUCCUAGUCUUAUAUAUAGAAUAAUAAGAUGAUGUGUAAAUGAAUGUGAAUAGGCUAAAUUUGAAAAUUUAAACAUUUUAAAAAUGUGUUAUCUUAAUAAGUCAAAUAUCAAAUUUGAAAUCCAAACUAACCCUUUAAAUAGACCUUCCUGUGGACAUAAACUAUCCUCUGUGCACCAAAAAUAUACUUGAUACUUUCUUUCAGGCCAUGGCUCAAAUACUGCCGCCCUAAAGAGGCUUUCCAUGACCACCCACCUGACUGAAAGCCUUAUUCUCUCUUUUUCUCUGUCACUGCAUCUAGCUCCUUUUAUACGUCCUAGCGUAAUUGGCAGUUAGAGAUUUGUUUGUUUCCUGGUUUAUUGUCUAUUUCCCAAUUAAACUGUAUGCUGCAGGUGCAGUAACCAUUUUUUAAUACAUCACCGUGUUUCCAAAACCUAAUACA